CAGCCUCCCAAGUAGCUGGGAUUACAGGCUCUGGCCACCAUGCCCGGAUAAUUUAUGGUUUCUUUCUAAUUUGAGGUCUCUCUCCUGAAGUGGCUGACACAAUUGGAGAAACUGGUUAUUUACCAAGGCUUUGACUGGAAUGGCAUACUUUCAGAUACAAACAGACUCUUUUAAAGAAUCAAAGUUGACUUAUAAAGCCAAUAAAAGCUUCUUGGGAAAUUUGGCCCCAUACUUUGUCUAGGCAGUCCCUGCACAGGGUUUCUGGCCUAUGAGGCCUCACCCAUCUGCAAUGUCACUUCCUAGAUGGGAUGCAACUACAAAACUAAUCUACUCUCAAGAACUAGACAGGAUUAUGACUGCCUUCAUGAGUAUUCACAGUUCUUCCUGUAACCUGUUGAAUAUACACUUAGCCAAUCUUUCAUCACAACCAGUUACUAUUAGAAAUGGGGAGCAUGCCUUAUAAUUAAGACUAACUUCUGUGUAUACAUCCCAGGCAAUUUGGAAAAUGUCUCAGAUA